AAUUUUCGUUUACUUUGACUAUUUCCAUGUAACAUACAUAAUUUGCGUCCCCAAUAUUUCUGCACAUUUAGCACCACAAAUCUUGGAAAUGUCACGAUUCUAAGACCAUAAUCGAGUAUAAAAUCAGCCCCUAAACCUUAAACAGAGAAUUUGACUUUCUAUUUUUCUAACUUAAAUUACAAUUUCCCGUGAAACUAAAAACCUCUGCCAAAAUGGAUACAAAUAUAAUUCAAUUUUUCCUACUUUUCCUGGCCAAUUUUGACCAUGUGUUGACCCAUGGAUGCCACCUGGUGACUUCCAACAAACCAAUAUCCUGCAUGGACCUCCACGCCACGCCCUUCAUCACCAGCGCCACCUCCACUUUUGGCCGCUUCAUUGAAGGCACAUCCACAAAUCGAAGGGGACACAUGUUCGCCGUCAAUUAUGGAAAUAGUUCCACCCUGAAUACAUAUGGACAAUUCUUCCACAAAUCCGCCCUUUUUAUCUCGACCCUCGGACAAAUUCACAACUUCACGGGAUGCGAUUUCUCAACGAUAAAACUGCCCUUGUCAUUGAUUCUGCCAACCAUCGCGUCCUGAAAUUGAGUCUGACCGAAAACCAGAAUGAUUUCCCAAUCGUGCUAAACUCCACCGUUUUCUGUGCUCCCACCAAACCAGAAGCUAUGAUGGAGCCGAACGACCUGACCCUUUCGCGGAGUGGCACUGUUUUCACUUCCGGUAUGAUGUUCACCACUUUUCCCCACAACAGGGAAGGAGAUGUUUGGAGUUGUUUGAAAAAUGGGGAGGCAAAACGACUGGAAUUAAUCGGCCGCACGAACGGGAUCGACCUCUCUUUCGACGAAA